UACGAGAGGUCCAAACGUUAUUCGGAAUCACUGGGCUUACAGAGUUCGUAGGCGGCGCGGUAAGUCGGGUGUGAAAUCUCGGAGCUUAACUCCGAAACUGCAUUCGAUACUGCCGUGCUUGAGGACUGGAGAGGAGACUGGAAUUUACGGUGUAGCGGUGAAAUGCGUAGAUAUCGUAAGAAAGACCAGUGGCGAAGGCGGGUCUCUGGACAGUUCCUGACGCUGAGGCACGAAGGUCAGGGGAGCAAACGGG
rnacentral:rRNA from 1 species